rnacentral:rRNA from 1 species
UACAGAGGUCUCAAGCGUUGUUCGGAUUCAUUGGGCGUAAAGGGCGCGUAGGCUGCGGGGCAAGUCGGGUGUGAAAUCUCAGAGCUCAACUCUGAAACUGCACUCGAUACUGCUUUGCUCGAGGACUGGAGAGGAGAUUGGAAUUCACGGUGUAGCAGUGAAAUUCGUAGAUAUCGUGAGGAAGACCAGUGGCGAAGGCGGAUCUCUGGACAGUUCCUGACGCUGAGGCGCGAAGGCCAGGGGAGCAAACGGG